AUUGAACGCUGGCGGCAGGCCUAACACAUGCAAGUCGAGCGGAUGAAGGGAGCUUGCUCCUGGAUUCAGCGGCGGACGGGUGAGUAAUGCCUAGGAAUCUGCUUGGUAGUGGGGGAUAACGUCCGGAAACGGGCGCUAAUACCGCAUACGUCCUGAGGGAGAAAGGGGGGGAUCUUCGGACCUCACGCUAUGAGAUGAGCCUAGGUCGGAUUAGCUAGUUGGUGGGGUAAAGGCCUACCAAGGCGACGAUCCGUAACUGGUCUGAGAGGAUGAUCAGUCACACUGGAACUGAGACACGGUCCAGACUCCUACGGGAGGCAGCAGUGGGGAAUAUUGGACAAUGGGCGAAAGCCUGAUCCAGCCAUGCCGCGUGUGUGAAGAAGGUCUUCGGAUUGUAAAGCACUUUAAGUUGGGAGGAAGGGCAGUAAGUUAAUACCUUGCUGUUUUGACGUUACCAACAGAAUAAGCACCGGCUAACUUCGUG
rnacentral:rRNA from 1 species